rnacentral:siRNA from 1 species
UACCACGUCCAUGAUUGGGGCUA